rnacentral:rRNA from 1 species
CAGUCUGCAUGGAGCCGACCUUGAAAUACCACCCUUUAAUGGCUGGUGUUCUAACGUGGGCCCGUGAACCGGGUUGCGGACAGUGUCUGGUGGGUAGUUUGACUGGGGCGGUCUCCUCCUAAAGAGUAACGGAGGAGCACGAAGGUUGGCUAAUCCUGGUCGGACAUCAGGAGGUUAGUGCAAUGGCAUAAGCCAGCUUGACUGCGAGCGUGACGGCGCGAGCAGGUGCGAAAGCAGGUCAUAGUGAUCCGGUGGUUCUGAAUGGAAGGGCCAUCGCUCAACGGAUAAAAGGUACUCCGGGGAUAACAGGCUGAUACCGCCCAAGAGUUCAUAUCGACGGCGGUGUUUGGCACCUCGAUGUCGGCUCAUCACAUCCUGGGGCUGAAGUAGGUCCCAAGGGUAUGGCUGUUCGCCAUUUAAAGUGGUACGCGAGCUGGGUUUAGAACGUCGUGAGACAGUUCGGUCCCUAUCUGCCGUGGGCGCUGGAAGAUUGAGGGGGGCUGCUCCUAGUACGAGAGGACCGGAGUGGACGCAUCACUGGUGUUCGGGUUGUCAUGCCAAUGGCACUGCCCGGUAGCUACAUGCGGAAGAGAUAAGUGCUGAAAGCAUCUAAGCACGAAACUUGCCCCGAGAUGAAUCUUCCCUGAGCCUUUAAGGCUCCUGAAGGAACGUUGAAGACGACGACGUUGAUAGGCCGGGUGUGUAAGCGCAGCGAUGCGUUGAGCUAACCGGUACUAAUGAACCGUGAGGCUUAACCUUACAACGCCGAAG